GGCCAGGUAGCUCAGUUGGUAGAGCAACGGACUGAAAAUCCGUGUGUCGGCGGUUCGAUUCCGUCCCUGGCCA
rnacentral:tRNA from 2 species